GCCGCACUCCGCUUCCAGAGCUACUUGUAUACAUAUAUAUAUAUAUAUAUAUAUAUAUCUGUUUUGUGCAGUCCCAACUCAUGUCAAAGGAGCUCAUGCAUAUAAGUUCUUCAAAGUACUGCAAGCCAGCACAUUAUUUACCAUGAGCAAGAGAAAGGGUAUCUUGGAGCGCCUUAAUGCUGGGGAGGUGGUUGUAGGAGAUGGCGGUUAUGUGAUGCAGCUGGAGCGGCGUGGAUAUGUAAAGGCUGGACACUGGACACCUGAAGCUGCUGUUGAACAUCCUGAAGCAGUGCGGCAGCUGCACAGGGAGUUUCUGCGAGCAGGAGCCAACGUGAUCCAGACCUUUACCUUCUACUGCAGUGAGGAUAAACUGGAGAUCAGUGGCAAUGUCAAAAGCAUCACCGGGUCCGAGAUCAAUGAGGCAGCCUGUGACAUGGCCCGGGAGGUAGCAAAUGAGGGGGAUGCGUUGGUCGCUGGGGGUGUUUCCCAAACUCCCUGCUAUGUGCAGAGUCACAAUGAAACUGAGGUGAAGGCCAUCUUUAAGAAACAGAUGGAUGACUUCAUGAAGAAGGACAUUGACUUCCUUAUUGCAGAGUAUUUUGAACAUGUGGAAGAGGCGGUGUGGGCAGUGGAAGUGAUGAAGACCAGCGGUAAAACCGUAGGUUCAACACUUUGCAUCUCACCUCACGGAGACAUGGACGGAGUCCCACCUGGAGAGUGUGCUGUCAGGCUGGUCAAAGCAGGAGCUGAAAUUGUCGGGAUAAAUUGCCACUUGGACCCUCUGACAUGCGUUCGUACGGUGAAGUUGAUGAAAGCAGGAUUAGAGAAAGCGGGCCUCAAAGCUCAUCUCAUGAUCCAGCCGCUGGGCUUCCACACUCCUGAGUGCAACCUGGGCGGAUACCUCGCGCUACCUGAGUUCCCCUUUGGUCAGCAUUUUCUUUCGUAUAGGAUAAUAAAAGAAGAACACAGCACUGGAGACCAGAGCAAUGACCCGCUGGGACAUGCAGAAAUAUGCGAGAGAGGCUUACAAUGCUGGAAUUCGAUACAUUGGUGGCUGCUGUGGAUUUGAGCCCUACCAUAUCAGAGCUAUAGCAGAAGAGUUGGCUGCUGAGAGAGGAUUCCUGCCUCCAGCCUCGGAGAAGCAUGGACUGUGGGGAGCUGCUCUGGAGAUGCACACUAAGCCCUGGGUCAGAACCAGGGCUCGUCGGGAGUACUGGGAAAACCUUCUGCCUGCUUCUGGACGUCCACAAUGCCCCUCCAUGGCCACACCAGCUGAUGAAUAAGAAGGAGGAUCACCAAUAGAUAGAAUCAAACAUCACAACACAAUCAUGAAUGGUAGAAUUUCAGCGUACUGUAUUUCCCGAUCAGAUGUCUACAAAAUCGGUCUACUGUUUGCUAUGACUGAAAUCCUCAACACAUUUUAUGUAUUGGGAUUUUAUCCUUCACGGCCUUCAUUAGAUCUAAAUGAUCCUCACAGUCGUGUCAUAUUUGUAAGAUUGCUGAAAUCCGCUACAAAAUGUUUCAGAUUUAAUUAAAAAAGGAAUAAAUCUCA